rnacentral:lncRNA from 1 species
GGGUGACUGCAGGCACCUCCUGCAGAGCCACUGUCCCUCGGGGAUAUAGGGCACCCCGUAGCACUCCUGGUGCACGGCCAGAUUGCACAUAUCACAGAAGAGGAUGACGUUGCUGUUCUGGCACUCCCCGUCAUUGCAGAUGCAGCACACGGCAUCCUCGUCAACCAAGGCGUUGGGGUCCCCCUUGUUGUGGCUCUCGAAGUACGACUCCUUCUCCAACCUGUCCAUCAGGUACUCAAAGAUCUCCUGGGGAAUGGGACUGACGCCCUCUGUCUUCCGCCGCUCGUUCAUGAUAUCCAGCCAGAUGUAAUCUUCCUCGUCCAUGUCGUACUCCACCUCCUCGUCCAGCUCCUCCGCUGACUUCUCAAUGUACCUGUAGUAGGAGGUGGGGCGCGGCGGCGCGUCGGGCGUGUCCUGCUCCAGCUCGCGGUACACCACCUCGGGCAGCUUGGGGGCCGCGCCGGCCGAGGCGUUGUGGUGGUGGUGGUGGUUGGAGUCCUUGCGCUUCUCCUUGCUCUUCUGCUUGGCCGACUUGGGCGCGGCGGCGGCGGCGGCGGCCGCCUGGCUCUCGCCGUUCUCCUUGCUGCCGCCGUUCUCCGGCGCCUCCUCGGCGGCCUCCUCGUCCUCCGACACCACGUCCAGGUUGUCGAAGAUGCUGAUGCGGUGCACGCGGCCGUGCAGGUCCACCUCCACCAUGCGCUGGGCCUGCGCGUAGGUCAUCACCUCGCGGCCCGGAGACUGCGACGCCUCCGAGGGGUUGGGGGACUGCUUGUCGGCGGCGCCGGCGCGGCCCUGGCGGCCCUUCUUCUUGUGCUUGCGGAGCGGCGGCUGCUGCGGUGGCGGCGGGUUGUCGUGGUCAUAGUGGUACAGGUGGUACUCGAUGCCGCUGUAGCUCUUGUAGAUCUUACGGCAGCUGCCCACCGGGCACUCGUAGGGCGGCUUGGUGGCCCGCAGGUUGUGGCAGAACGUCUUCACGUCGAAGUCGACCCCCAUGGCGCGGCCUCGGCCUCGUGCGGGGGGCGCUGGGGCGCCGAGGCCCGGCCCUGCUGCCGCCUCCCGCCGCGCUCAGCGGCCCCGCGCCCGCGCCAUGGCCCGGCCCGCAACAAUGGAGGAGCGCGGGGCGCCGCUGGGUAAAGCGCGCGGCGGCCUUAGCAACCGCACUUUCGCCACCGCGCCGGCGGAGCGGGCGGGACGGGCCGCGGGAGGGCGGGGAGGGGCGGGCGGAGCGGCGGAGAGCGGAGCGAGGAGAACGGAGCGACGGGAACGGAGCGCGCUCCCCGAAGAGGAGAGGACGCGGUGCCGCGCGGCGAGCGGCGAAUCUGCCGACGCGAAUCUCAAGGACGAGAAGCCGCCCCGCAGCGGCCCGGUGCGGUUGGAGCGCUUUAUUGCGGUCGGUGACAGCGGCGCAGCCCCGCGCGCGGCGCUCCCGGACGGGACCCGGCGGUGACGCUCCCGUCACUGCGCGGCGUUGCGGCGGGGCUCGAUGCCGCGGCCCCGCAUGUAGGACAGCAGCUGCUCGGGGAUCUCGGCCAGCACGUCCUUGGCCAGGCGCGCCAUGCUCCGCACCUGGCUGCCCGCCCCGUCCACGUAGUCCCGGAAGGGGACGAACUGGGGGCAGCGGGGGGGGAGGGGGGCCCGGCCCCGAGCUCUGCCCCACGGCCACGGCCGCACGGCGGCCCCGUGCAGAAGCGCAGGGCCCGGUGCCGCCCCGCGCCCAGCCCCGCAGCCUCACCUGCACGAUGUCCCUCUCGGCGUAGCGGCCCCGCGACGACACGCGCACCUCGUCCCCAUCCAGCUCCUCCAUGGCUGGGGGGCACCGCUCAGACCCCGCCUAAGGGCGUCCCCCGGGCCCGGCCCUGUCCCCCAGCCCACCCCGCUCACCGUCGAACUCAGCCGGCCCCACUCCCACGAUGAUGAUGGACAUGGGCAGCGCAGAGGCCUACGGGGUGGAGGGGCGGCAGCUGUAGGCGUGGGGCGGCCCGGCGGCACCAAGGCCAUGUGCGGUGCCCAGGCCCCGGUGGCGCGUGGCCACUCACAGUGACGAUGGCCUCCUUGGUCUGCAUCAUGUCGGAGAUGACGCCGUCGGUGAUGAUGAGCAGAACGUGGUACUGAGAGCCGUCGGUCACCUGGGCGGCCGUGCUGCGGGGACACGGCGUGGGAUCCCUCCAGCGCCCACCCCAUGUCGUCCCCCACGGCGCGGCCAUGGGACGGGGACGGCCCCGCGGCGCUCACCCGGCCACCUGGUUGAUGACGGGGGCGAAGUUGGUGGGCCCGUAGAGCUGCACGGUACGCAGGCUCUGCAGGGUUCAGCACCUGCGGGCACCAGGCGGGUCCCGCUGCGGGGCUCCCCGCACCCCCAAAGCUGCCCCACUGUGGCCCCCGCCCUACCUCAUACACUGUGAACUGGCUCUGUGCACGGGACAGCUCCCGGUAGCUGGUGGCGAACUCCCCGAUGAAGUCGUGGCUGCAGGAGGAGCGCAGGGGCUGCGUGUGUCAUGGGAUGAGGAACGACCCGAUGCCCACUCUGCUGCCCUUUGGGGCACGGCCUCACCUCCCAUCCCGGUCCCAGUCGUACACAUCAAUCUUCACUGUGCUGGAAGUAAAUUGGGGCUGACGGGGAGCCGCUGGCAUGGCCCACAGCGCCCAGGGCUCAAUGUGCCAUCAGGGUGGCACCAUAUGCCCAGGGAGGGGAACAGGAAAUUUGGGUCACAGUGGAGCUCUGGGGAGGGGGGAAGCUUUCGUGUAAUUUGGGUUGCAAAAGGAAAAAAAAAAGAAAAAGAAAAAAAAAAGCAGAACACCACUAAGAACCCAGUUUGGAGUUGCAUGCUGGCUGGGGGGAGAUGCUGUGUCCUGUCCUACUGCUGCCCCAUUGCACACACCACAGCAGUGGCCCUGGGGUGCAGAACGGGUCCACAAUAUAGGGGGCAGCUCUGGAGGAACGUGGCCAGGGCACGUUCUGGGGGAUACAAGAUGUGUCCGGGGCUGUGGGCUGGACCAGGGGUUGCAGGAUGGAGCCACAGUGUGGGGUGGGUCAAGGCUGCCCCAUGGAACCAUCCUCACCGGUCGUAGUCACCGUUGCAGAGGGCACGCACGGGUAUGGUGAAGGGCUGCCACACCGGGUUAAGUGUGUUCUUCACCACCUCCGUCUUGUGGCAGAUGGUGAAGCUGCGGGGACGGGGCAGGGUCAGGGCAUGCUGUGCAGGGACACCUGCACCCCACAUCCCCAUGCUCACGUGCCGUCCUCGUUGCUGCGGUAGAAGACGAGGAAGGGGUCGGAUUUCCCGAAGAAGUCCUUCUUGUCCAGCUUGUUGGCACACAGCUGCAUGGUGACGAUGUCCUGGGGACGGGGACUGUCACCACCAGCCAGCUCCUCGCCCCACGCUCCGAUAGCGUGCAGAAGCAGCACUCACCCUGCAGUUGCUCAGCUCCUCGGCCAGCAGCAGGAUGGUCCCGCACCGCUUCCCUGGGACCCCCCUGUGACAACAGCCCAGCGUGGGGACAGUGGGGACAGCACAGGGGCAGGAUGCAGGGCGCUCCGCAAGGCCCGAUGCUGCAGGUGUGUCCCCAGCCAUGCACAGGGACAUGGGGCAGUGUGGCCAGCAGGGUGUCCUGAAGCGGGGUGGGUGGCCAGGGGCACGGUGCGGGACCGCCAGCCCCGCCACAGGAUGUGACUCACGUGAGGGCUCUCUCCAGACGGCCCCGCUGGGACCCGAUCACCUCUCCCAGUGCCACAAACGCCUGCCCCAGGAAGUCCUGCACCCAGGAACGGCAUACUCAAUCCUUGGGGGCUCCUCUUUGCAGCCCCCUCACCCUCUCAUCAUCCCCAGCCUGCAGCCUACUUUCUCCACAGGACCCCAGAUGACCUGAGCUCACCGUGUGCCCUAUAAGAGCACGGGUGCCUAGCACACAACCCUGCGCACCCCAGGCCACCCCAUAUCCCUGAGCUCAUCCUGCAGCCCUACAGCCAUCCCGUGCACCCACCCCAUGUCCUGGCACCAUCCUGUGCCCCCUGAGCCAGCCCACAGCCCCACACCCAUCUCGUAUCCCCCAAAAUGUGUCCCGGACACAUUCCUC